CGAAAGCCUGACGGAGCAAUACCGCGUGAGGGAGGAAGGUUCUUGGAUUGUAAACCUCUUUUCUCAGGGAAGAAAAAAAUGACGGUACCUGAGGAAUAAGCAUCGGCUAACUCCGUGCCAGCAGCCGCGGUAAUACGGAGGAGGCAAGCGUUAUCCGGAAUGAUUGGGCGUAAAGCGUCCGCAGGUGGCGAUGCAAGUCUGCUGUCAAAACCCAGGGCUCAACUCUGGUCAGGCAGUGGAAACUACAAAGCUAGAGUCUGGUAGGGGCAAAGGGAAUUCCCGGUGUAGCGGUGAAAUGCGUAGAGAUCGGGAAGAACAUCGGUGGCGAAAGCGCUUUGCUAGACCAGAACUGACACUCAGGGACGAAAGCUAGGGGAGCG
rnacentral:rRNA from 1 species